UACGUAGGUGGCGAGCGUUGUCCGGAUUUACUGGGCGUAAAGAGCGCGCAGGCGGUCGUUCAAGUCGCGUGUGAAAGCCCCCGGCUCAACUGGGGAGGGUCACGCGAUACUGAUCGACUCGAAGGCAGGAGAGGGAAGUGGAAUUCCCAGUGUAGAGGUGAAAUUCGUAGAUAUUGGGAAGAACACCGGUGGCGAAGGCGGCUCACUGGCCCGUAACUGACGCUCAUGCACGACAGCGUGGGGAUCAAACAGG
rnacentral:rRNA from 1 species